rnacentral:rRNA from 1 species
UACAGAGGUCUCAAGCGUUGUUCGGAUUCAUUGGGCGUAAAGGGUGCGUAGGCGGCGCGGUAAGUCGGGUGUGAAAUCUCGGGGCUUAACUCCGAAACUGCAUUCGAUACUGCCGUGCUUGAGGACUGGAGAGGAGACUGGAAUUUACGGUGUAGCGGUGAAAAUGCGUAGAUGUCGUAAGGAAGACCAGUGGCGAAGGCGGGGUCUCUGGACAGUUCCUGACGCUGAGGCACGAAGGCCAGGGGGAGCAAAACGGGG